GCACCAGUGGUGUGUGGUGCACGCUGCCAUUAAAAAUGGCUAAUCGGAGACAGGCGUUUCAGGCAGAUCGGGGUUCGAUUCCCUGCUGGUGCA